rnacentral:rRNA from 1 species
UACGUAGGGGGCAAGCGUUGUCCGGAUUUCUUGGGCGUAAAGAGCGUGUAGGCGGCUUGCCAGGUCUGCUGUGAAAACUCGAGGCUCAACCUCGAGAUGUCGGCGGAAACCGUCUGGCUAGAGUCCGGAAGAGGAGAGUGGAAUUCCUGGUGUAGCGGUGAAAUGCGCAGAUAUCAGGAAGAACACCCGUGGCGAAGGCGGCUCUCUGGUACGUGACUGACGCUGAGACGCGAAAGCGUGGGGAGCGAACAGG